rnacentral:tRNA from 1 species
ACUCAGUGGUUUAAAAAAAAAAAAAAAAUCUGCCUGCAAUGCAGGAGACCCAGGUUCAAUCCCUGGAUUGGGAA